GGAUGUGAGGGCGAUUUGGCUGCAACAUCUGCCACUCCAUUGAUCCCCAGGGUUGAUUUGGCUUCCUUGCUCACUGCUCCAUGUGCGUCCCUUCCGAAGUUGCGCAUACGGUGGAAGAGGAAGAGCAUCCCAGAUAGAAGGAGUAUACCGUUCUUCGGUCAAGGAUAAUGA